UGACACGUAGGCUCCAAGCGUUGUCCGGAUUUAUUGGGCGUAAAGAGCUCGUAGGCGGUUGAGUAAGUCGGGUGUGAAAACUCUGGGCUUAACCCGGAGACGCCAUCCGAUACUGCUCUGACUAGAGUUCAGGAGGGGAGUGGGGAAUUCCUAGUGUAGCGGUGAAAUGCGCAGAUAUUAGGAGGAACACCGGUGGCGAAGGCGCCACUCUGGACUGAAACUGACGCUGAGGAGCGAAAGCAUGGGUAGCAAACAGGAUUAGAUACCCUGGUAGUCCAUGCCGUAAACGGUGGGCACUAGGUGUGGGUUCCAACUAACGGGAUCCGCGCCGUCGCUAACGCAUUAAGUGCCCCGCCUGGGGAGUACGGUCGCAAAACUAAAACUCAAAGGAAUUGACGGGGGCCCGCACAAGCAGCGGAGCGUGUUGCUUAAUUCGAUGCUACGCGAAGAACCUUACCUGGGUUUGACAUGUUUGGAAAAGCCACAGAGAUGUGGUGUCCGCAAGGGCCAAACACAGGU
rnacentral:rRNA from 1 species